AGCGAACGCUGGCGGCAGGCCUAACACAUGCAAGUCGAACGAACCUUUCGGGGUUAGUGGCGGACGGGUGAGUAACACGUGGGAACGUGCCUUUAGGUUCGGAAUAACUCAGGGAAACUUGUGCUAAUACCGAAUGUGCCCUUCGGGGGAAAGAUUAAUCGCCUUUAGAGCGGCCCGCGUCUGAUUAGCUAGUUGGUUGAGGUAAUGGCUCACCAAGGCGACGUUCAGUAGCUGGUCUGAGAGGAUGAUCAGCCACAUUGGGACUGAGACACGGCCCAAACUCCUACGGGAGGGAGCAGUGGGGAAUCUUGCGCAAUGGGCGAAAGCCUGACGCAGCCAUGCCGGGUGAAUGAUGAAGGUCUUAGGAUUGUAAAAUUCUUUCACCGGGGACGAUAAUGACGGUACCCGGAGAAGAAGCCCCGGCUAACUUCGUG
rnacentral:rRNA from 1 species